ACUUGAAUUGAAGAGUUUGAUCAUGGCUCAGAUUGAACGCUGGCGGCAGGCUUAACACAUGCAAGUCGAACGGUAGCAGGAGAAAGCUUGCUUUCUUGCUGACGAGUGGCGGACGGGUGAGUAAUGCUUGGGAAUCUGGCUUAUGGAGGGGGAUAACGACGGGAAACUGUCGCUAAUACCGCGUAGUGUCGAGAGACGAAAGUGCGGGACUGAGAGGCCGCAUGCCAUAGGAUGAGCCCAAGUGGGAUUAGGUAGUUGGUGGGGUAAAGGCCUACCAAGCCUGCGAUCU
rnacentral:rRNA from 1 species